rnacentral:lncRNA from 1 species
CUAGGACUCCUGAGCUCUGCUGGUGACACCACCNCAAUUUAGGCCACAUGGACAGAACUUAGAAGCAUCCUCCUUCCCCCGCCACUGGAGCGAGCCUCCCUCUCUCGAGAAUCAGAUGCCUGGUUUCUCUUUUCAUCGUGAUUGUCCCAACAUUCCUACCCAUGGAACAAGGAGAAGAGAAGAUGCCACGGUGGGAAUUAAGUAACUGGGAAUGAGAAAGUGACGCUGACGGCUCGUCCUGGGAAAGCACAGGAGACAAGAUGGGCGUGUAGGACGAUGGGUGGAUGGAACCCGCCUUGCCGGGUGCGCUUUGUCUCUGGACCCUGAAGCUAACCCAUGAAGGUGGAAGUGUAUGUGACCAAGGUGAGGCCACGCGAGUCACACCUAGUGGCAGGAAGGAAAACCAGACUCUUUUGCUGAGGGGAUCCAUAGCCAUGUGGAGAGCAAGGAGUUCUGCCUCUCGUCCUUGAAUCACAUGAGGGGCAGUCAUGGCAGGGUGAUAGUAGCCCACCACUGAGGCUAUGGAGGCUGUCCCUGUGGGCCCCUUACCUCUCACUCACCAUCCUCCUCCAUUUGGUCUGCACCCAACUCCCCUGACGGCUCCCAUGCUGUUUCUGGGACCCUCCUACUGUGCCCCAUGAAAUAGGUAUGCAGGCCACCCACGUGUGUCCCCCAGCCUCAUACCAGGACUUCCUAUCUCCUAUCUUUGGGUUCUAAAGCAAAAGGGUCCUUCCAAUUCAGCAAUGGUCAAGGUCAUUUUCAUCCUAAAGCCUCCAAGAGCAAACACACCUUGCCACGUAGCAUCUGUCUCACGCCAGAAAAAUAUAUUCCUAUAAUCUCCAAGACUUUCCCCUCCUCCUGUGGGGGAAAAAAUACCUAGUUCUCAGGUGCAUCCUUCCAUCCCAUGAGGACCCCCUUCUAAUGAAUAUUGCACUGUCUGAACCUACCCAGGGAUGGCACUGACCUCAGAGAUGAUUUCUGAUCCCCCAGUUUUGAGUCCAUUUGAAGGGGUGUGAGUGGAAUUCAGUUCGUCCUGGAGCUCUGGCCAGUCUGCAGAGAAGAGAGAAGGACUUAUCCAGAAGUUGAGCAUCUCAUCUCCUUCCCUGUCUUGAACUGAGCAGCUCAGAUGCAGCGACUAUGUGACACAGCGUUUGCAUCCUGAGGUGGCUGGUCUGGGACCUGCAUUUUAGCAGUUUCGAUGUUGCUCCAGUUUAUGAAGGUGACAAAAAAAAAAACAGGUCGGGGUGGGGGGAGACACUGUAAUUAGAUGCUGUCCAGAAGAGGCAGGACACACUGGAGCAGUGUUGCCCAAAUGGCAUCCCUUAAAACACCUGCAUUGCAUUAUCUGGAAGCAUAAGACACAUGCUCAGCUUCCGGGGCUCCUGCGGACCUGUCGCAUCAUAGCAUACAGUUCUCUUCAUGCUUCUCAGGUUUGUUUCAAAGAAAUCAUAAUGCUGUCUGUUAAACACCAUGACAUCCAGUUGCAUGGCCUGGUGUGCUGUGUGAGUCAUUGAAUUACAGGUUAAGUUGUAUUUAAGUCCAAUAAAUGAUGUUUGCCUGGAAAGUUCUGUGCACUACAUUACAUUGGAAG